rnacentral:lncRNA from 1 species
CUAUAUUAUUUUUUGUGCAUUGCAAUCAAUAUGUUAACCUUAACAAAUUGUUGUAUAACAAGAAGGGCCUUUUUUCUAUGCGUUGUUUCCACUAAGGGUCCGAUGCUAUCUAUUAGCUUUCUUCAUAGCAUAUAACCAUGGCAUCAGUACUUCUUUUGAGUUCUUUCUGUUGAGGAUGUUUUCGUAUCCUCUCCUGACCUCUAUCUCCAACAAUUCCCUUACCUGUGCUUGGUGUAUGUUGUCUGUGCAUUUUAUUAUCUUAGCCCUAUUCCAAUGCAUUCCGUGUUUCCUGCAUAAUAUUCCUCCGCUAACACUGUGGUUACUUUACCUUUCAUUAUAUCUUUCCUGUGUUCUUUCAAUCUCUCUUCCAUCGUGCAGCUUGUCAUGCCUAUGUACUUGCUUAUUGUUCCAUUGUCUCUGUUGCUAACUGGAAUGCUGU